rnacentral:lncRNA from 14 species
UUGAAGAUGAGUGCAAACCAAUCAAUAUUAAUCCUCCCACAAAGCAUUUUAAUCUUUUUGUUAACCAAAGCAGCACUGGCAUGUUUUUCAUGGAUCCUGAUGAUAGAAAUGAAAUGACCAAUAAAAAUUAUCCUUAUUAUGCUAGAGAGGCUUAUCCUGCAAUCAAUGAAAAAAACCGUUCUGUAGACAGACACCUUGAAGGCAUUUUCACAGCUCCAGAACAGGUUUUACUUGAAAGUAAUAAUGUCUUAAGUGCAAGCGACCAGAAAAGCAGUGAACUUCAUAACACUCACCUGCAGGACUGUCACGUGGGACAGCACUACUUCAUAGCCUCUGAAGAGAAAGGAACAUCUUCAAACCUUGAGAAAGUUGAGACUUCUGCUUAUCACCAUGAUCAGUGGAUUGACUUACAGGAGAGUGUGCAGAACUAUUCGAGACAAAAAAGUGACGACAAGUCUGUGGGAGAAUCAGCCUGGAGACAGAGCCAGCUCUUUGGAUUUGAAGAGGUAACUUUUUAAAGAAAGAGAUGCAUUUUUUAUCAAACCUAUUGUUUGCACCAUUAGAAGGAAUGUCCACAAUAGUUAGUAACUGAAUACAGCUUCACUGCAUUAACUUCUGUGGAAGCUUCUUUUCUGCCAUGGUGUAUAUAAGGAAUCCAGAAAGAACAUCUUCUAGUUAAGUGAUUCAGAUAAGACAGACCAUAAUUUCAUGUCCAUAAUUUACAUGGCUUGAUUCAUACCUAAGCUCAUAUCUGAAAUACAUUGUGUAAGUAAGUUACCCAUUAAUCCUUAGGAUCAGAUUCUGCAGGCAGUGCUCAGACAUUAUAUGCAGGACAUUUCAGUAUUAUAAAGGAGAUUUAUGCCAGCAUACAUAUAAGUAGUUUUUUAGAUAUUUUGCCUGUAGAAGUCACCCAGGUACAUAGAGUGUUGCUCAGGUGUUUUGUACCUCUUAUAUUAAUUUGCAGUACAGUGCAGUGAGCCCUUUAUGUACUACAGAAAGUGAAUGUUCCCCACCUAACCUAAGGUGCUGAUCCAACUGAACCCUCACUAUUAACACUUCAUUAUUUUUAAAAGUUCACAACAGCCCAAGAGAAAGAGUUCAGACUGAGCUCAAGUCUGCACCAGAUGACGAAGGGUUAGUACUAUUUAUACAUUAUUAAUUACAAAAUCAGGUUUUUCUCUACAUGUGAAACUGAAAUAGUGACUUGUAAAGCCAGGGAGAAGUGUUCUGAUCUUUUCAGGAUGUUACAUUUGAUGAGGGUUUGUUGUUUUGAUUCAUGCAGCACUGUAUAAAGACAACUAGCAUUAAAAGGUAACUAAGAACUAUCUGUGUUUGCUUUUCCUUGAAGAGACAAAUUCAGGUUAACUAGCUCAUCUCUGGUGAGUAUUACACACAUAUUUGUUUUACCUUGUCCCAUUUCCUCCCGGGUUGCCUGCUAAACAGAAAAGCCACCUCUGAAAGUAGGAGUAACUGCUAAAAACCCUAUAAAUUAAUCCAAAAGAGAGGUCAAGUAUAUAG